CUCGUAAACUCGUACGAGUUUACGAGUUUACCAGAGCUUACCUGUACAACUCGGAGGUAAACUCGUUUUUUAGUGAACUCGGAGCAAUCUCGGUGAACUCGGAGCAAUCUCGGUGAACUCGCGAGACUACCUCCGUUUUUAAGAGUUCACCAUUUUUUUUUCCACUUACACAAAACGCACGUUUUGUGUUUUUUUGUGUUAGGGCACAAAACCCACGCCUCACCUCCACGGCUCUUCAGAUCAUCAACCCACGCCUCACCUCCUCCGAGCGUCCGCGCGCCUCACCUCCUCCGAGCGUCCGCGCGCCUCACCUCCUUCGCGGAACUCCUCUGCGCGCCUCACCUCCUUCGUGGAACUCCUCUGCGCGACACCUCCUCUCCGCGCGACACCUCCUCUCCGCGCGACACCUCCUCCCCGCGCGACUCCUCCGGCGCGUCUCACCUCCUCCGUGCGCCUCACCUCCUCCGUGCGCCACACCUCGUCCGUGCGUCUCACCGCCUCCGUGCGCCUCACCUCCUCUCCGCGCGACUCCUCCGGCGCGUCUCACCUCCUCCGGCGCGCCUCACCUCCGGCGCGUCUCCUCUCCUCUCCGCGCGACUCCUCCGCGAGCGCAUCACCUGGUCCGCGCGACUCCUUCGCGCCCGCGACACAGGUUUUUAAAUUUUACAUUUUUACUUUUUUUUGUGAUUCAUUGAAUCAUUGUUAAUUUCUACUAUAAUCAUUUCUGAUUGCGCAACUCCGUCCGACUAUCAUUUCUGAUUCUGUCUAUAGUAAUUUCUACUAUAAUCAUGUCUGGGAGUGGAUCAAAUUCUGGUAGUGGUAGUGGAUCAGCAGCCUCUUCUGUUGCUAGAAAUAAAAAUGCCCCAGGAAACAGGUCAGAUAUUGGGUGGAAGCAUGGGACAGAUGUUCAGGGCAAUGCAAGAAAAGUGAAAUGUAAUUAUUGCUCAAAGAUUGUGAGUGGAGGAAUUUCUAGAUUCAAGCAUCAUCUUGCAGGGACUAGAGAAGAUUCAGAGCCUUGUGCUUCAGUGCCCGAAGAAAUUAAGUUACUUAUGUUAAAAGUUGUUGUGGAGGCUAAAGAGGCAUCAUUGAAGAAAAGAAGAUUGAAUAGUAUUGAUGAAGAAGAAGUUGAGGAACAACAAAGUCAGGGGGUGGCCUUGGAGACAAAUAAUCAAAGGAAGUUGUGGUGCAAAGGAAAAGGAAAAGUUCUUACUGGUAGUGGAGGAGGAGUUCAAGCAACUAUAAAUCAAAUGAUGAAAAAGGGAUAUAAAGAAGAAGUUGAUGCUCAAGUUGCUGAAUUUUUUUACACAAGUGCCAUUCCAUUCAAUGUUAUUAAAAAUCCAGCAUUUGCAAAAAUGUGUGAGAUGAUUGGAAAAUAUGGGAUUGGCUAUAAACCUCCAUCCUACCAUGAUAUUAGAGAGAAGCUCUUGAAACAAGCAGUCCAGAACACCGAUGCAUUACUUGAAGAAUAUAAGGAGGAGUGGAAGAGAACUGGCUGCUCAAUUAUGUCUGAUGGGUGGACAGACAGAAAAAGGAGAUCUAUUUGUAAUUUUUUGGUGAAUAGUCCAAAAGGGACUGUAUUUUUAUAUUCAUUGGAUACUUCUGAUAUCUCAAAAACUACUGACAAAGUUUUUAAGAUGUUGGAUGAUGUAGUGACAUAUGUUGGAGAAGAAAAUGUAGUGCAAGUGGUUACUGAUAAUGCUGCAAAUUACAAGGCAGCAGGAGAAUUGUUGAUGAGGACUCGACAAAACUUGUAUUGGACCCCAUGUGCUGCCCAUUGCAUUGAUUUGAUAUUUGAGGAUUUUGAGAAACACCUGAAGGUUCAUCAAACUACUAUAAAGAAGGGGAGGAGGAUCACUACCUACAUAUAUGGUAGAAGCAUGCUCAUUAGCAUGCUAAAAAAGUUUACAAAAGGAAGAGAUUUGAUUAGGCCUGGCAUGACUAGAUUUGCAACAGCUUAUUUGACUUUGUCUUGUCUCCAUGAAAUGAAACCAUCAUUGAUGACCAUGUUUAGCUCUGAAGAGUAGAAGGAAAGUAAGUUUGGAACUUCACAAGAGGGAAGAAAUAUUGAAAAUACAAUUUUAGAUAGUCGAUAUUGGAAGAAUGUAACCAUUUGUCUCAAAGCUGCUGCCCCUCUUAUGGUAGUCCUUCGAUUGGUGGAUUCUGGUAUUAAACCCGCCAUGGGUUUUAUAUAUGAGGAGAUGGAUUGUGCAAAAGAAAGAAUUCAGAGCAACUUUAAUAAUGUAAAAAAAAGCUAUGAACCUAUAUGGGAAAUUAUUGAUAAGAGGUGGGAUAGUCAACUUCAUAGGCCUUUGCAUGCUGCUGGGUAUUAUCUUAAUCCUCAAUUACAUUAUGAAGCUAAUUUUAGAAAUGAUGAUCAUGAGGUGAAGCAUGGGUUGUUAGAUUGUAUGAAAAGAUUGGUAAAGGAUCCUGCAACAAGAAAAAAAAUUAAUAUGCAGUUUCUUGAGUUUCAUUAUGCUAGAGGGCUUUUUGGCUUAGAUGAUGCAAAGGAAUGCAGGAAGGAAAUGCUUCCUGCAGAAUGGUGGGAGAUGUUUGGGGAUCAUUGUCCAGAAUUGAAAAGGUUUGCCAUUCGUGUUUUAAGCUUGACUUGUAGUUCUUCUGGAUGUGAGCGUAAUUGGAGCUCAUUUGAAAUGGUUCAUACAAAAAGGAGAAACCGCUUGCAUCAAAAAAGCAUGGUUGUCAAUCUCUAG